GAUGAACGCUAGCUACAGGCUUAACACAGGCAAGUCGAGGGACCGGCGCACGGGUGAGUAACACGUAUCCAACCUGCCCUUUACUCGGGGAUAGCCUUUCGAAAGAAAGAUUAAUACCCGAUAUAAAGGAUGGGGAUGCGUUCCAUUAGGUUGUUGGUGAGGUAACGGCCCACCAAGCCUUCGAUGGAUAGGGGUUCUGAGAGGAAGGUCCCCCACAUUGGAACUGAGACGCGAUCCAAACUCAUACGGGAGGCAGCAGUGAGGAAUAGUGGUUGAUCGGAGCUAGCCUGAACCAGCCAAGUAGCAUGAAGGAUGAAGGCUUAUGGGUCGUAAACUUCUUUUAUAUAAAAAGAUGUAUUAUAUGAAUAAGGAUCGGCUAACUCCGUGCCAGCAGCCGCGGUAAUAC
rnacentral:rRNA from 1 species